CGGUGUUCAACUGGCGUGUCCGCGGGACGUCCUGCCGGUGGGCUUAGCCCGCAAGGGCGGCCCAACUUCAAAUCCCAUCGCGGUGCUCUUCACUGAGUGUCGAGGUGGGCCGGCACGUUUACUUUGAACAAAUUAGAGUGCUUAAAGCAGGCUAAAACUUCGCCUGAAUACUGUGUGCAUGGAAUAAUGGAAUAGGACCUCGGUUCUAUUUUGUUGGUUUUCGGAACCCCGAGGUAAUGAUUAAUAGGAACGGAUGGGGGCAUUCGUAUUGCGACGUUAGAGGUGAAAUUCUUGGAUCGUCGCAAGACGGACAGAAGCGAAAGCAUUUGCCAAAAACGCUUUCAUUGAUCAAGAACGAAAGUUAGAGGUUCGAAGGCGAUCAGAUACCGCCCUAGUUCUAACCAUAAACGAUGCCAGCUAGCGAUCCGUCGACGUUCCUCCGAUGACUCGACGGGCAGCUUCCGGGAAACCAAAGCUUUUGGGUUCCGGGGGAAGUAUGGUUGCAAAGCUGAAACUUAAAGGAAUUGACGGAAGGGCACCACCAGGAGUGGAGCCUGCGGCUUAAUUUGACUCAACACGGGAAACCUCACCAGGCCCGGACACCGGAAGGAUUGACAGAUUGAGAGCUCUUUCUUGAUUCGGUGGGUGGUGGUGCAUGGCCGUUCUUAGUUGGCGGAGCGAUUUGUCUGGUUAAUUCCGAUAACGAACGAGACUCUAGCCUGCUAACUAGGCGUAUUUUCGACAUCUCAAAGGUCCGUCGUCCCGGCCCUCGGGUCGUGGGCGUGCGCGAUUUUUACUGUCGGCGUACUAUCAAUUCUUCUUAGAGGGACAGGUGGCUUCUAGCCGCACGAGAUUGAGCAAUAACAGGUCUGUGAUG
rnacentral:rRNA from 1 species